UACGUAGGCAGCGAGCGUUGUUCGGAGUUACUGGGCGUAAAGGGUGCGUAGGCGGUCCCUUAAGUUCGGUGUGAAAUCUCCCGGCUCAACUGGGAGGGUGCGCCGGAAACUGAGGGACUAGAGUGCGGGAGGGGAGAGCGGAAUUCCUGGUGUAGCGGUGAAAUGCGUAGAUAUCAGGAGGAACACCGGUGGUGCAGACGGCUCUCUGGACCGUAACUGACGCUGAGGCACGAAAGCGUGGGUAGCAAACAGG
rnacentral:rRNA from 1 species